UUCGAGUAAUGGUGAUCUCGA
rnacentral:siRNA from 1 species